GACGAACGCUGGCGGCGUGCUUAACACAUGCAAGUCGAGCGGUAAGGCCCCUUCGGGGGUACACGAGCGGCGAACGGGUGAGUAACACGUGGGUGACCUGCCCUCAGCUCUGGGAUAAGCCUGGGAAACUGGGUCUAAUACCGGAUAUGACUCCAUGACGCAUGUCGUGGGGUGGAAAGCCUUGUGCGGCUGGGGAUGGGCCCGCGGCCUAUCAGCUUGUUGGUGGGGUGAUGGCCUACCAAGGCGACGACGGGUAGCCGGCCUGAGAGGGCGACCGGCCACACUGGGACUGAGACACGGCCCAGACUCCUACGGGAGGCAGCAGUGGGGAAUCUUGCGCAAUGGGCGAAAGCCUGACGCAGCGACGCCGCGUGAGGGAUGACGGCCUGUGUAACU
rnacentral:rRNA from 1 species